CUCUGGCGCUAUUUGUUGGCGUCUCUAAAUAGGGUUGUGACAGAAAUCGGUCCGAUUUCAGAGCUGAAGAACGGCCUCAGCGCAGACCCCAACACAACUGAGAAAGAAACAAUUUUGCUUCUCUAGUAGCUUUUUCUAAGCAAGGCUCAGGCAUCAUGGGGAGACCAAAGAGGGUUAACAACCCUGGUGCCUAGAAACAGAAACCAGACAACCAGCCAAGAAGCCUCCUGCACGGCCUCACUGGCCCUCUUAACUUGCUCCAACACUCACAACAACAGUAGGAUGGAGAACUCUCAGCUACCUCUCCAGCACCACGUCUGCCUGCACGCUGCCAUGCUCCCAGUCAUGAUGAUAAUGGACUGAACCUGUGAAACUGUAAGUGAGUCAGCCCAGCUUUGGUCCAUACACCUCCAGAGUUGGAAGGCAGACGCCACCGUCAGAUGUCCAUGCACCCACCUCCUUGGGUGCUCUGAGAGCUUAAGUCCUCUGCAAACAUCUGUGGAGAAUGCAGUCCAUCCUGCCUGGAGGGAUUACCUACAUGAGAAAGCCCUUAUGAAUCAUGUUUAUUCUUUCGGGCAGUAUUCCAAACUUUGCUGAGACUAAAUAGAUAAAAACAUCACCCUCCUCCCCGAGUAUUGUUCCUUACGUAACUAUCUGGACCUUAGCGCUUGAGUUCACAAAAGCCAAAUACAAGCAUGUCCUUGGCUUUUUCAACUUCGAAGAGACUUGGCUGCACUAGAAUAUCUGCAUCUGAAAAGUCUAUUAAAUGUUUCCUUUUGCCUGUGAGAUAGAAGCGGGACUGGUUGU